rnacentral:tRNA from 1 species
UGUUUUGGGGCUUAGAUGGUUGAAGUGCCGGUCUAGCGAAUACGGAGUCGUGGGUUCGAAUCCCACCAGAACGC